CUAAAACAUCGGGUCCCGUAUAAUCACCGAAGUUAAGCAACGUCGAACCUGGUCAUUACCCAGAUGGGUGACCGCUUGGGAAUACCAGGCGCUGUAAG